rnacentral:rRNA from 1 species
UAAAGCUGAUCUGCUCUGGGUAAGUCGGGGCCUAAGGAGAGGUCGCAAGACGUAUCCGAUGGACAACAGGUUUAGAUUCCUGUACCGCAUAUAAACAGAACUGUGGGGACGCAUGUGGAAAGCACGAGCCGGGAAUGGAAAGACCGGUACAAGCGAGGUAGGAGUGUGACAGGCAAAUCCGUCAUACAAUCUGAAGACGUGAUGUGGAGUGAAAUUUCAGUAACGAAGCGUGUGAGCCAUGUGCCGAGAAAAGCCGCUAUUGUUUUAUAUGUGCCCGUACCGUAAACCGACACAGGUGGAUGAGGAGAGAAUCCUAAGGCCGACGGAAGAAGCAUUGUUAAGGAACUCGGCAAAAUGACCCCGUAACUUCGGGAGAAGGGGUGCCUGCGAGAGCAGGCCGCAGAGAAUAGGCUCAAGCAACUGUUUAGCAAAAACACAGGUCUAUGCGAAACCGAAAGGUGAGGUAUAUGGGCUGACGCCUGCCCGGUGCUGGAAGGUUAAGAGGAGAGGUUAGCGCAAGCGAAGCUUUGAAUUUAAGCCCCAGUAAACGGCGGCCGUAACUAUAACGGUCCUAAGGUAGCGAAAUUCCUUGUCGGGUAAGUUCCGACCCGCACGAAAGGCGUAAUGAUUUGAGCGCUGUCUCGACAAUGCAUCCGGUGAAAUUGAAGUACCAGUGAAGAUGCUGGUUACCCGCGCCAGGACGGAAAGACCCCAUGGAGCUUUACUCCAGUUUGAUACUGGGAUUCGGUACUGCAUGUACAGGAUAGGUGGGAGACGAAGAAGGAUGGACGCCAGUCUGUCCGGAGUCGCUGUUGGGAUACCACCCCUGUAGUACUGGGUUUCUAACCAGUUGCCAUGAACUGGCAAUGGGACAAUGUCAGGCGGGGAGUUUGACUGGGGCGGUCGCCUCCGAAAGGGUAUCGGAGGCGCUCAAAGGUUCCCUCAGAAUGGUUGGAAACCAUUCGAAGAGUGCAAAGGCAGAAGGGAGCUUGACUGCGACACCGACGGGUGGAGCAGGUACGAAAGUAGGACUUAGUGAUCCGGUGGUAUAAAGUGGGAUUGCCAUCGCUCAACGGAUAAAAGCUACCCUGGGGAUAACAGGCUUAUCACUCCCAAGAGUUCACAUCGACGGAGUGGUUUGGCACCUCGAUGUCGGCUCAUCGCAUCCUGGGGCUGUAGUAGGUCCCAAGGGUUGGGCUGUUCGCCCAUUAAAGCGGUACGCGAGCUGGGUUCAGAACGUCGUGAGACAGUUCGGUCCCUAUCCGGCGUGGGCGUAGGAUAUUUGAGAGGAGCUGUCCUUAGUACGAGAGGACCGGGAUGGACGGACCACUGGUGUAUCUGUUGUCGACCAACGGCAUGGCAGAGUAGCCAAGUCUGGAAGGGAUAAACGCUGAAGGCAUCUAAGCGUGAAGCCCCCCUCAAGAUGAGAUAUCCCUCCUUCGGGAGUAAGACCCCUUGAAGACUACAAGGUAGAUAGGGCAGAGGUGGAAGUGUGGCAACACAUGGAGCUGACUGUUACUAAUCGGGUGAGGGCUUGACCA